UGGGGAAUUUUGGACAAUGGGCGAAAGCCUGAUCCAGCAAUGCCGCGUGUGUGAAGAAGGCCUUCGGGUUGUAAAGCACUUUUGUCCGGAAAGAAAUCCUUGGCUCUAAUACAGUCGGGGGAUGACGGUACCGGAAGAAUAAGCACCGGCUAACUACGUGCCAGCAGCCGCGGUAAUACGUAGGGUGCAAGCGUUAAUCGGAAUUACUGGGCGUAAAGCGUGCGCAGGCGGUUUGCUAAGACCGAUGUGAAAUCCCCGGGCUCAACCUGGGAACUGCAUUGGUGACUGGCAGGCUAGAGUAUGGCAGAGGGGGGUAGAAUUCCACGUGUAGCAGUGAAAUGCGUAGAGAUGUGGAGGAAUACCGAUGGCGAAGGCAGCCCCCUGGGCCAAUACUGACGCUCAUGCACGAAAGCGUGGGGGAGCAAAACAGGAUUAGAUACCCUGGUAGUCCACGCCCUAAAACGAUGUCAACUAGUUGUUGGGGAUUCAUUUCCUUAGUAACGUAGCUAACGCGUGAAGUUGACCGCCU
rnacentral:rRNA from 1 species